AGAGAGAGACAUGCGCGCAUAUCAAUAAGCGGAGGAAAAGAAACUAACAAGGAUUCCCUUAGUAACGGCGAGUGAAGCGGGAAGAGCUCAAAUUUGAAGUCUUCAAGGUUUUACCUUGACGAAUUGUAGUUUAAAGAAGUGUUUUCUGCUGAAGUUUUGGUAAAAGUUCUUUGGAAUAGGACAUCAUAGAGGGUGAGAAUCCCGUAUUUGACCAUUAUUUUCAGCUUUGUGAUACACUUUCAAAGAGUCGGAUUGUUUGGGAAUGCAGUCCAAAAUGGGUGGUAAAUUUCAUCUAAAGCUAAAUAUUGGCGAGAGACCGAUAGCGAACAAGUACCGUGAGGGAAAGAUGAAAGAACUUUGAAAAGAGAGUUAAACAGUACGUGAAAUUGUCAAAAGGGAAGCGUUUGACACCAGUGUUGUUUUCUCGAAAAUCAAUUAAAAAUGGCUCGAUUUUGUAUUGUUGAGACCUUAAAAGCUCACUGUACAUUUUUCGUGUCUUUUUUAAUGCACUUUUCGUUUAACAAGUCAACAUCAGUUUCUUUUGUUGUAAAAGGGUCAUUGGAAGGUGGCUUUCUUUUCGGAGAAAGUGUUUAUAGCCUUUGGCCUCUGCAAUCGGAGAGACUGAGGUCUGCAGCGUAGACCUCUUCGGGGUUAGAUACAUUUGUGCUAAGUUAUAGCUUUUUAUAGACAACUUGUUGACUAUAAUUAGUCUUGUAGCUUACUCGCUUAUGCUAUUUUACCUACGCUUAGGAUGUUGAAGAUGUAGCACAUCAU
rnacentral:rRNA from 1 species